rnacentral:rRNA from 1 species
GAGUUUGAUCCUGGCUCAGGAUGAACGCUGGCGGCGUGCUUAACACAUGCAAGUCGAACGGGAAUUACUUUAUUGAAACUUCGGUCGAUUUAAUUUAAUUCUAGUGGCGGACGGGUGAGUAACGCGUGGGUAACCUGCCUUAUACAGGGGGAUAACAGUCAGAAAUGGCUGCUAAUACCGCAUAAGCGCACAGAGCUGCAUGGCUCAGUGUGAAAAACUCCGGUGGUAUAAGAUGGACCCGCGUUGGAUUAGCUAGUUGGUGGGGUAACGGCCCACCAAGGCGACGAUCCAUAGCCAACCUGAGAGGGUGACCGGCCACAUUGGGACUGAGACACGGCCCAGACUCCUACGGGAGGCAGCAGUGGGGAAUAUUGCACAAUGGGGGAAACCCUGAUGCAGCAACGCCGCGUGAAGGAAGACGGUUUUCGGAUUGUAAACUUCUGUUCUUAGUGAAGAAUAAUGACGGUAGCUAAGGAGCAAGCCCCGGCUAACUACGUGCCAGCAGCCGCGGUAAUUC